GUUACUUCAUUGCAUGAAAACUGUUUGCAGGAACCGUCGUGUUGGCACAGCGAGGAUGAUCAACAGAUACCCGAUAGGCAGCGAUGAGAGCUGUUCAUGGCACCGACACAGAGGACAGAUUGCAGUACAAGAUAGGAGCAUAUUUCCCGCAAGCCCGGGCAAGCCAUAAUGAGUGGUUUCAAAUACAGCAACUGUACCACCACAACAGUGCAGGACAGGAGAGCCUAUCGUCAGUGCCGCGUCGAG